rnacentral:misc_RNA from 1 species
AGCAGCCGCGGUAAUUCCAGCUCCAAUAGCGUAUAUUAAAGUUGUUGCAGUUAAAAGCUCGUAGUUGAAUUUCGGGGUCAAUAAGUUGGUCAUGCCAAUGGUAUGCACUGGCUUUAUUGAUUCCUACCUCUUGACGAACUGUGAUGCCAUUAAUUUGGUGUUGCAAGGAAUCAGGACUGUUACCUUGAAAAAUUGAGUGUUUAAAGCAAGCUUACGCUUGAAUACAUUAGCAUGGAAUAAUGAAAUAGGACGUUUGAUCCUAUUUUGUUGGUUUCUAGGAUCGACGUAAUGAUUAAUAGGGAUAGUUGGGGGCAUUAGUAUUCAAUUGUCAGAGGUGAAAUUCUUGGAUUUAUUGAAGACUAACUACUGCGAAAGCAUUUUGCCAAGGAUGUUUUCAUUAAUCAAGAACGAAAGUUAGGGGAUCGAAGACGAUCAGAUACCGUGUAGUCUUGACCAUAAACUAUGCCGACUAGGGAUCGGGAUGAUUAGUUAAUUUUUUAAUGUACUUAC